UACGGAGGGGGCAAGCGUUGUUCGGAAUUACUGGGCGUAAAGCGCACGUAGGCGGCUUUGUAAGUUAGAGGUGAAAGCCCGGGGCUCAACCCCGGAAUUGCCUUUAAGACUGCAUCGCUUGAAUCCGGGAGAGGUGAGUGGAAUUCCGAGUGUAGAGGUGAAAUUCGUAGAUAUUCGGAAGAACACCAGUGGCGAAGGCGGCUCACUGGACCGGUAUUGACGCUGAGGCGCGAAAGCGUGAGGAGCAAACAGG
rnacentral:rRNA from 1 species